GAUGAACGCUAGCGGCAGGCUGAAUACAUGCAAGUCGAGGUACAGCACAGGUAGCAAUACUGGGUGGUAACCGGCAAACGGGUGCGGAACACGUACACAACCUUCCUUUAAGUGGGGUAUAGCCCAGAGAAAUUUGGAUUAAUACCCCGUAAUAUAGUUGAAUGGAAUCAUUUGAUUAUUAUAGCUACGGCGCUUAAUGAUGGGUGUGCGGCUGAUUAGAUAGUUGGCGGGAUAACGGCCCACCAAGUCUACGAUCAGUAGCUGAUGUGAGAGCAUGAUUAGCCACACGGGCACGGAGACACGGGCCCGACUCCUACGGGAGGCAGCAGUAAGGAAUAUUGGUCAAUGGACGCAAGUCUGAACCAGCCAUGCCGCGUGAAGGAUUAAGGUCCUCUGGAUUGUAAACUUCUUUUAUUUGGGACGAAAAAGGGCCUUUCUAGGUCAACUGACGGUACCAGAUGAAUAAGCACCGGCUAACUCCGUGCCAGCCGCCGCGGUAACAC
rnacentral:rRNA from 1 species